CAGUAGCCACGGUAAUACGAAGGGGGCUAGCGUUGCUCGGAAUUACUGGGCGUAAAGCGCACGUAGGCGGCUUGGUAAGUUAGAGGUGAAAGCCUGGAGCUCAACUCCAGAAUUGCCUUUAAGACUGCCGAGCUAGUAGGUGAGAGAGGUAAGUGGAAUUCCGAGUGUAGAGGUGAAAUUCGUAGAUAUUCGGAAGAACACCAGUGGCGAAGGCGGCUCACUGGACCGACACUGACGCUGAGGCGCGAAAGCGUGGGGAGCAAACAGGAUUAGAUACCCCAGUAGUCCCUGUCUCUUAUAC
rnacentral:rRNA from 1 species